CGUCAAAUCAUCAUGCCCCUUAUGACCUGGGCUACACACGUGCUACAAUGGCCACUACAGCGAGGAGCGAAGCCGCAAGGUGGAGGGAAUCUCGAAAAAGUGGUCCCAGUUCGGAUUGUGGGCUGCAACCCGCCCACAUGAAGUCGGAGUUGCUAGUAAUCGCGGAUCAGCAUGCCGCGGUGAAUACGUUCCCGGGCCUU
rnacentral:rRNA from 1 species